ensembl:lncRNA
CGCUGUCUGGACACAGCCAAAGUGUUGUGCUCAGUGGUUCUUUGUCAGGGUGGAGGCUGGUCACAAGUGGUGUCCCUUAGGGGUUGGUCUUGGAACCGGUGCUCUUCAACGUCUUUAUCAAUGACAUAAACAAUGGCAUCGAGUGCACCCUCAGCAAGAUUGCGGAUGACACCAAGCUAAGCGGUGCAGUCGAUAUGUUGGAAGGAGGGGAAGCCAUCAGAGAGACCUGGACAGGCUGGAGAAAUGGGCCCAUGAAAACCUAAUGAGUUUCAGUAAGGCCAAGUGCAGGGUGCUGCACUUGGUUCAGGGCAAUCCCAAGAAUUUAUACAAACCGAGGGAAGAUCUCAUUGAGAGCAGCCCUGCGGAGAAGGACUUGGGGGCCCCAGUAGACAAGAAGCUGGACAUGAGCCAGCAGUGUGUGCUUGCAGCCUGGAAGGCCAACUGUGUUCUGGGCUGCAUUAAAAAAGGGGUAGCCAGCAGGGAGAGGGAGGUGAUUGUCCCCCUCUACUCAGCUCUUGUGAGACCCCAUCUGGAGUACUGUGUGCAGGCCUGGGGCCCCCAGUACAGGAACAACGUGGAGCUCUUGGAGCGGGUCCAGAGGAGGGCCACUUAGAUGAUCAGAGGGCUGGAGCACCUCUCCUGUGAGGAAAGAGCUGGGCUAGUUCAGCCUGGAGAAAAGAAGGCUGUGGGGUGACCUCAUUGCAGCCUUUCAGUACCUAAAGGGAGCCUUUAAACAGGAGGGGAAUCAACUCUUUGAAAGGGUAGAUAACAGCAGGACAAGGGGAAAUGGUUUUAAGUUGAAGGAGGGAAGAUUUAAGUUGGAUGUCAUGGAGAAGCUCUUUACCAUGAGAACCGUGGUAAAGGUGCUGGAACAGGUUGCCCAGAGAGAUGUGGAUGCCCCAUCCCUGGAGGUGUUCAAGGCCAGGUUGGAUGGGGCCCUGGGCAGCCUGGUCUAGUAUUAAAUGUGAAGGUUGGUGGCCCUGCCUGUGGCAGGGGGGUUGGAGAUUCAUUAUCCUUGAGGUUCCUU